rnacentral:rRNA from 1 species
GGGGAAUAUUGCGCAAUGGCCGAAAGGCUGACGCAGCGACGCCGCGUGGGGGAUGAAGCAUUUCGGUGUGUAAACCCCUGUUGCCCGGGACGAACAAGCAGAUUUUUCUGCUCUGACGGUACCGGGUGAGGAAGCACCGGCUAACUCCGUGCCAGCAGCCGCGGUAAUACGGAGGGUGCGAGCGUUGUCCGGAAUCACUGGGCGUAAAGGGCGCGUAGGCGGUCCGCUAAGCGUGCGGUGAAAGCCCGGGGCUCAACCCCGGGUCUGCCGUGCGAACUGGUGGACUAGAGCACUGUAGAGGCAGGUGGAAUUCCGGGUGUAGCGGUGGAAUGCGUAGAGAUCCGGAAGAACACCGGUGGCGAAGGCGGCCUGCUGGGCAGUAGCUGACGCUGAGGCGCAACAGCGUGGGGAGCAAACA